GGGCACUUGCGUUGCUGCCCGGGGCUGGGGCUGCGCGCGGACCGGAAGGGCGGGAUGGGGCUCAGCGGCUUCCGGUGCGAGGCUGUGUGAGCGUAGGGUGCGGAGUUAAUGGUGCAGCUGCGGGAGCGGCCGUGUCUGCCGGCUGUGUGAGAGGAGGUCGCCGGCUGGCGGUGCAGCGGCCUCCGUCGCAGCCGUGUGGCUGUCCUAGUGCUUCAAACCCUUGUUGUUUUUUAAGAGGCCUGGAGUGCGAAGGUCUCAGGGAAAAAGAAUCCUUAGUUGACACCUGAUGGGAGGGUAGAAUGUGUUCUGCACACCCUCAUCCCACAGAGACAGCUUCAGUGGCGUGUGUGAGGAACGCUCCACAGCCUUCAGCUGAGGGGCACAAGCUGUGUCUGGAGAAGGGAUUUACUUGAGCAGCAUUUGCUGCCUGUGAAAACACAUGGGCAUUGACUCCAGAGUGAGGUACUGUCUGUUACUGCUGCACCUCGUCUUCAAUGGAACUGUAUAACCUACCAUAGCAGCAGCGUCAGAAGUGCCAGACAUGGCCCCAUCCAUCCCGGCAGUCCAUCCCUGGGCUCAGAAAGACCACCCCUCAGCAACAGCUGAGGAUCAGUGUUCACUACUGGAUCAGUGAAGCUGUAGCAAACACACGGCCCUGGGAACCUAUAGCUUUGGAGGGCUGAAGCUUGAUGAUCUUUAAGGUCCCUUACAACCUAAGCCAUUCUAUGAAGCACUGACAGCUACACAAAGAAUACCUAUCUGACCUACAGAUACACUGCACCAAAUGAAAUGCUGUCUCAUGUAUGUAAAAUGUAUAAAAUAGCUAUCACAAAAUUGUUCAGUUGGAAUAAAAAUACAGUGACACUGCAUUUCACAUACAUCUAAAUGAUUUCUUACGCAUUCUUUGUAAUUCUGAAUUGACUGGAUUUUAAUUCUUUUGAAUAAAAUAAAACAAUACCCCUUGUCGGCUGUCAAACACACAGUGAAAUGUUAUUCAUUCAGGUGAUGCCAUGAUCUGAGAUGGUACACAAUGAUACAGUUAACUUAUCAAACUGUACUUGUUGAUACAGCUCCACUGUGGGUCAGGGCAGACUAAACAAAACCCUUUUUCAUGAAUGCUUGUUCAAUCCUGGCAUUCAUCUUGGGCCAUAACAAG
ensembl:lncRNA